rnacentral:lncRNA from 1 species
GUAAUCUCAGCUCACUGCAACCUCCACCUCCUCGUUCAAGCGAUUCCCCUGCCUCAGCCUCACAAGGAGCUGCAAUUACCAGCAGGCAGCAGCCAAAACAUACCACACAUCUACAGUGAGACGCUUACCACAACAAUUCUGUGAAAAAGGUGUGGAUGUUCCUAUUUCACAGAAAAGGAAAUAAAAGCUCAGAGGAACUAAAGAAUUUUCUACACGUCACCUGUUGGAAAGAUAUAUAAUAAUUCAAGUGCAAAUCCUGUGUCAACUUGUGGAAGACAAAAGCAUAUAAGACAUGGCUGUUGACCUAGUAAAGCUCACGGUAUCAUGGUAUACAAACAGGAGUAGAAAUGGCUGUAAUUCAAAGCCUUGGCUUACAGCAAAGAUGAAAGUCAGUUAAAAGGAAUAAAUCAUGCAC